rnacentral:siRNA from 1 species
ACCUUAUAUAUAUGUUGAUGUUCC